UAACCGCUGAAAGCAUCUAAGCGGGAAGCCUCCCUCAAGAUGAGAUCUCACACUCGUGCUUGCACGAGUCUAAAGGUUCGUUGAAGACGACAACGUUGAUAGGCAAGGUGUGAAAGCACAGCAAUGUGUGAGCUAACUUGUACUAAUUAACCGUGUGGCUUACCAUGCAACCUUA
rnacentral:rRNA from 1 species